rnacentral:rRNA from 1 species
CCCUUAGAUGUCCUGGGCCGCACGCGCACUACACUGAUGCAUUCAACGAGUUUUACCUUGGCCGAGAGGCCUGGGCAAUCUUUUAAACCUGCAUCGUGAUAGGGAUAGAUUAUUGCAAUUUUUAAUCUUGAACGAGGAAUUCCUAGUAAACGCAAAUCAUCAAUUUGCAUUGAUUACGUCCCUGCCCUUUGUACACACCGCCCGUCGCACCUACCGAUUGAAUGGUCCGGUGAAGCCUCGGGAUUGUGGCCAGUUCACUUUAUUGGGAGUUGGCUGUGAGAACUUGUCUAAACCUUAUCAUUUAGAGGAAGGUGAAGUCGUAACA